UACGUAGGGGGCUAGCGUUGUCCGGAAUCAUUGGGCGUAAAGCGCGCGUAGGCGGCCCGGUAAGUCCGCUGUAAAAGUCAAGGGCUCAACCUUUGAAUGUCAGUGGAUACUGCCGGGCUAGAGUCCGGAAGAGGCGAGUGGAACUCCUGGUGUAGCGGUGGAAUGCGCAGAUAUCAGGAAGAACACCGACGGCGAAGGCAGCUCGCUGGGACGGUACUGACGCUGAGGCGCGAAAGCGUGGGGAGCAAACAGG
rnacentral:rRNA from 1 species